rnacentral:tRNA from 1 species
GCCUGGGUGACUCAGUCGGUUGGGUGUCUGACUUCAGCUCAGUUUAUGAUUUCGUGGUUCGUGGGUUCAAGCCCCACAUCAGGCU